rnacentral:rRNA from 1 species
AGUAACUGCGAGUGAAGCGGGAAGAGCUCAAAUUUAAAAUCUAAUAGUCUAUGACUGUUCGAGUUGUAAUCUAGAGAAGCACUAUCCGUGCUGGACCAUGUAUAAGUCUCCUGGAAUGGGGCGUCAUAGAGGGUGAGAAUCCCGUCUUUGACAUGGACUACCAGUGCAUUGUGAUGUGCUCUCAACGAGUCGAGUUGUUUGGGAAUGCAGCUCUAAAUGGGUGGUAAAUUCCAUCUAAAGCUAAAUAUUGGCGAGAGACCGAUAGCGAACAAGUACCGUGAGGGAAAGAUGAAAAGAACUUUGAAAAGAGAGUUAAACAGUACGUGAAAUUGUUGAAAGGGAAACGCUUAAAGUCAGUCACAUUGAUCAGGGAUCAACCUUGCUUUUGCUUGGUGUAUUUUCUGAUCAAUGGGUCAGCAUCAAUUUUAAUCAGUGGACAAAGGCUGAGGGAAUGUGGCAUCAUUUGAUGUGUUAUAGCCCUCUGUCAUAUACAUUGGUUGGGAUUGAGGAACUCAGCAUGCCGCAAGGCCGGGUUUUAACCACGUUCAUGCUUAGGAUGCUGGCAUAAUGGCUUUAAUCGACCC